AUCAAAAUGGGGAGGGGUGUAUUAGAUUAUGAGGACUUCCAAAAAGCUAACUCCUCCUCCGGGAUCAAAAUGCACCUGAAAGGUGGGAAGAGGUCGAGCCCCGGGGUUCUCGCCGCAGAUGAUGAAAUUCACCUGAGACCACACAGCCAGAGAAGGCCAAACUGAGUUUUGAAUCUGGGCAAUCUUGACCCCAGAGCCUUCUGGCCUAAAGAUGGAGCACUGAAGCACAGAGAAGUUAAGGAAACCAAGUCAGGCUCAAGAGUGUGCUGGCUACUGCGCUGCUUCUCAGCUUCAUAGAUAAGGAGGAGACACAGGGAAAACAUGGAGCGUAGGCCCUAGCACAAAGUACACAGAAAUGCUAAUUUUUAUUAUUAUUAUUC